GUGUUCACUUCAACAGCACAUAUACCAAAAAUUGAACCCAUACAAAGAAGAUUAGCAUGGCCCCCCAUGCAAGGAUGACACACAAAUUCAUGAAGCAUUCCAUACUAAA